rnacentral:rRNA from 1 species
AACGGCCGUACCAUGCUGAAUAUACCGGUUCUCGUUAGAUCACCGAAGUUAAGCAUCAUUGGGCGCGGUCAGUACUUGGGUGGGUGACCACCUGCGAACACUGCGUGCCGUU